UACGAAGGGGGCUAGCGUUGUUCGGAAUUACUGGGCGUAAAGCGCACGUAGGCGGCUCAGUAAGUCGGGUGUGAAACCCCCAGGCUCAACCUGGGGACGCCACCCGAUACUGCUGUGGCUGGAGUCCAGUAGGGGAGUGUGGAAUUCCCGGUGUAGCGGUGAAAUGCGCAGAUAUCGGGAGGAACACCAGCGGCGAAGGCGGCACUCUGGGCUGGAACUGACGCUGAGGAGCGAAAGCGUGGGUAGCAAACAGG
rnacentral:rRNA from 1 species